ACCACACAGUGCUCCUUUUCCCUGCCUCUUUUUCUCUUCUCCACACGGCACCGAGUCAGGCGGCAGCGCCAGAGCGAGCGGAGGCGCUGUGCUAGGCGGCCCAGGCGCGCGCGCGAGCUGGUGGCACGGCAGCUCGCGGCAGGUGGCGCCGUGCGGGCGGCUAGCAGCGCGUGGUAGGCGCAGGGCGGCGGCUCGGCGGGCGCGAGCGCGCGCGCGGCUGGCGGGCCCAGGAGCGAGUGGCUCGGUGCGAGGGCGACGCAGCGCUGGCGGGGCGGUGCCCAGGCGGUGGCUCGGCGCGCGGCAGGCGGACGGAGUGGCGCGGCAAGGCAGUGCGCGGGAGCAGGCGGGCCGAGCGGCGCACGGUGUGGCAGGCGGGGCGCGAACGCGGCCCAGGAGGUAGCGCGAGCGGGAGGAGGAAGCACAGAAGUGCCGAACAAGCCCUACAAAGGGAGAUAAUUUUUUGAUGCCGCACGGCUUCAAACACGGGCCAAGCAAAUAACUGCAAUCCCUUCCCGCGUGAUGGUUCCUGUUCCCACGCACCUUCCCGAGAUGGUUGCUAUCCCCCCGAGACUCGGCGCUGCCUGAACUUCCUAGUGACGACAUGAUCGGUGGCUAUUCCCAAGAGGGGUCUUCAAGAACUCUUCGUCGAUGUCAUCGCCAGUUCCCACACCAGUUCGGAGAGGGGAUUUCAAGAGUUCCUGCUCUCAUCGUCCUCACCAUUUCCGAAAAGAGAGGUUUUUUUUUCAAGAACUCCAACUGUAGCCCCGCUCGCCCCCCUCCUCUUCGAUCACCGCAUGUCGCACUGCUACGCCUUUCCAGCGCUCCGGCUCAUCGCCGUCCAUGCGUCGUAGCUCCAUGCACGCUAGUGCGUGAGCCCUCGGGUGGCCUCGCCGCGCUUCGUGUUGCGUGAUGUCAUCUUCCGUGGUCUUGUGAUCAGACCCCUACCAGUCCUCGACGAUAAUCUCACCUACGCUGCCACGGGCGGGCACAAUGUGGCAACCUAUGUGGCCGUCAUCCUCCUCUACUUGGCCAAUGGCAGCGCCGGCGUCGACAACGCUGCUAGGUAGUACAUGAGAUAGGCCAUGGGCCUGAAAGAAUCGGGGCAAAGUUGGGCAGCAACGGCACAACGCUGAGCAACAAGGGGUGUUUGUUGUGUCGUAGAGGAUCGCGGAUAUGAUCUGGACUGUGUGGUGGCGCUGGCCCUGGAAGCAGGUGGUGCUGACACCGGUGCGCGGCGAUCAUCCCUGCGUAGGUGGGAAUUGUGGCGUUCAUCUACAAUGUGGAAACAUUGAUGCAGAGUGUUUUGCGGCGAGGACUGCCAGAUUCACAGUAAAAUCGAGCUGUUCUUAAAGAGAAUUAAUGGAGAGUGAAUUAUUAGUGUAACUUUUGCUUUUUUGUUGCUUUUACUUGAUGAGCUCUAGGACUGGUUGGCGGACCUUGUAGCCAAUAUUGCCAAUGUAAAUAUAUAUUUGAUUAAUGAAGAUCUUAUGUUACCCCUAAAUAAACAACAUGUCUACAUGGCAGCCAGUGUGCUGACUGGGACCCGAAGAUCCACGUGUCAGGGUUGUGGGUCAAAUAUGUUAAUAUGGGGCCCACUAGAGAAGUGGGACCCUGCUAUCCACGUGUACGAGUGCGGGCUAGCAGGCCUUCAUGGCUAACACAUGUUAAUGCGGGUCCCACUGGGUGGGUCCUGAUAGUCCACGUGUAUGUGCAGUGGGUACGAUAGGUAGUCGUACAACCAUGUGUUGCUUGCGCGGUCCAGCGUGUCCACAUCGUGGCCACGUGUCAUGGUGGAGCCCACAGAUAAUAAGGCCUCGGCCUGUUUCAAAUGCAGGCCUAAAAUGAAAUUGCUGUGGAGCCAGCCCAUUUUGAGUGAGCCACCAGGAUCCACUCGAUCUGACCCACGAAGAGAAAAAGACCCGCUGUGAAAACAAGAGUGCCGAACGAGCCCAACAAAGGGAGGAAAUUUUUUGAUGCCGCAUGGCUUCGAACACAGGCAAGGUCAGUUUGGCAGUUGCUAUCCACCACUGCGCUAUUCAAGUGUAUUUUCCUAACUCAACACUCAUACUAUUUUUGAGCAAAUAACUGCAGCCCCUUCCUGUGUGAUGGUUCCUGUUCCCGCGCACCUUCCCGAGAUGGUUGCUAUCCCCCCGAGACUCGGCGCUGCCUGAACUUCCUGGCGAUGACGCGAUCGGCGGCAGUUCCCAAGAGGGAUCUUCAAGAACUCUUCGUCGAUGUCAUCGCCACUUCCCACGCCAGUUCGUAAAGGGGAUUUCAAGAGCUGCUGUUCUCUUUGUCCUCGCCAGUUCGUAAAGGGGAUUUCAAGAGCUGCUGUUCUCUUUGUCCUCGCCAUUUCCGAAAAGAGAGGUUUUUUUCAAGAACUCCAACUAUAGCCUCGCUCGGCCCCCUCCUCUUUGAUCACCGCAUGUCGUGCUGCUAUGCCUUUCCAGCGCUCUGGCUCGUUGCCGUCCAUGCGCCGUAGCUCCAUCCACGCCAGUGCGUGAGCCCUCGGGUGGCCUCGUCACGCUCCGUGUUGCGCGACGUCAUCUUCCGUGGUCUCGUGAUCAGACCCAUACCAGUUCUCGAUGAUAAUCUCGCCUGUGCCGCCACAGGCGGCACAAUGUGGCAACCUAUUUGGCCGUCAUCCUCCUCUACUUGGCCAAUGGCAGUGCCGAUGUCGAUAACAAUGCUAGGUAGUACAUGAGACAGGCCAUGGGCAUGUAAGAAUCGGGGGCAGCGGCGGCGGGCAGCAACGGCACAAUGCUGAGCAACGAGGGGUGUUUGCUGUGCCGCAGAGGAUCGCGGAUAUGAUCUGGACAAUGAGGUGGCACUGGCCCUGGAAGCAGGUGGCGCUGACACCAGUGCGCGGCGAUCAUCCGUGCGCAGGCGGGAAUUGCGGUGUUCGUCUACAAUGGUAGAAACAUCGAUGCAGACUGUUUUGCAGCGAGGACUGCUGGAUUCACAGCAAAAUCGAGCUGUUCUUAAAAAGAAUUAAUGGAGAGUGAAUUAUUAGUGUAACUUUUUCUUUUUUGUUGCUUUUACUUGAUGAGCUCUAGGACUGGUUGGUGGACCUUGUAGCCAAUUUUGCCAAUGUAAAUAUAUAGUUGAUUAAUGAAGAUCUUAUGUUACCCUAAAAAAAAUUGAAACCUUUGCACUACAAAAAUUUUGAUGUGUUUUUUUUUUGAAAUGCAAGAUUCUAGUGUGUUGCCUGUUACUUCAAGUGAUUUUGACUAACUGAACAGUCGCAUUCCUUUUAGCAAAUAAUCACACAGGUGUGAGGCGAGGACAGCUGACGUGCCUAGCUCAUCCGAAUCUUCUCCUAGCAUAGUGCUUUGGGCAGAAGGCUGGCGCAUAGAGGACGUCAGCACGGUGCUGUUUCCUGAACGACUGCUCCAAAGGAGUGGUGUUUUGUUAAUUCCCCCGGCGUGAAGAGGUUCAUGUUCCAGCGCACCUUCUUGAGAUGGUUGCCAUCGCCCUGAGACGCGCCGCCGCCUGAACUUCCAGGUGGCGAUGCGGUCAGCAGCAGUUCCCAAGAGGGGUCUUCAAGAAGUCCUCCUCAACGUCACGGCAGUUCCCACAUCAGUUCGCAGAGCAGAUUUCAAGAACUGCUCUCGUCCUCCUCGCCAUUUUUGAAAAGAGGGGUUUUUUCUAGAACUCCAACUGUAGCCCUGCUCGCCCCCCCCCCCACUGCCAUCUCCUCUCCAAUCACCGCACAUCACGCCACUACGCCUAUCCAACACUCCGGCUCGCUGCCGUCCAUGCGCCGCAGCUCCAUCCAUGCCGGCGUGCAAGCCCUCGGGUGGCCUCAUCGCGCUCUGUGUUACGCGACGUCGUCGACACCUGCACUCAUGGCGGUGAGGCGGCACCCGUCAUCGCUGGUGGAGCUCCCUGCCGAGGUGGCCAUUCAGAUCGUGGGCCACUUCACUGUGACCUCAAAGCGGCCAAUGGAUGACCUCGGAGCGGCCAAUGGAUGACGUCCGCAGCCUACGUGCCACCUGCCGCUUCAUGCGUGGUGUGUGCGACGACCUCGAAGUCGGCCAGUGCAUCGCACUAGAGCGGUUUGCUGACAAUAUGGUGUGGUACGACCCCAAUGGCUAACACACCCUCCUUGCUCGCCUGACCUAAUUCGGCAAUCUGGAGGCCUGCUUCAUCACCAGGAUGGGAGUCAUCUUCUGUGGACCCGUGAUCAGACCUCUCCUAGUCCUCGACGAUAAUCUCGCCUGCGCCACCACGGGCGAGCACAAUGUGGCGGCCUAUGUGGCCGCCAUGCUCCUCUACAGGGCCAACGACGGCACCAUCGAUGAUAACGCUGCGUAGCGGUACAGCAGACAGGUCGAGGGCGAGGAAGAAGCGAGGGCAGCGGCAGCGGGCGCGGUGGCGGACCAUUGCUGAGCAACCAGGGAUGUGUGCUGUGCCACGAGAAGGCCUAUGAGAUCAUCCGGUGAACGUUUGGCGCCGGAUGUUGAUCCACAUCAGCCGCCGGCGCCGGUGCUGCACGACAAUCUUUUAUGUGCAGGCGGCAAGUGCAGCCGUCCUGUCAAUCAAUGGGAACCUCAAGCACUAACUCUAUAUUGCAGCGAGGACUGUAGGAUUCCACAUGAAGUCUAUCUGCUUUUCAAGAAAUUUGGAUUCUAGGUUGCUAGGACUGGUUGCUUUAAUGUUGAUUUUGGUUGACAAGGUCCCGCACUGGUUGCUUUUUGUGUUAAUUUAGGUCUGGAGUGAAUUAGUGUAGUAGGUCUUGCUUUUCUGUUGAUUUUGCUUCAUGAGGUCAAGGGACUGGUUUGCAGACCUUGUUGCCAAUGUAAAUAUAUAUAUGAUUAAUGAACAUCUUAUGUCACCCUCAAAAUAAAUUAGAAACUUCAAUACAUCAAGCAUAAUAACAAAACAAUCAUCAUCAUAAAAAAUUCAACAUUACAUGAAUUCCAGUACAGCAGUAUAACCAUAAUUAACUACUAGUAUGUCCAAUAAUAGGCAACAACUAACACAACACACAUGACCGCAAGCAAUGCAAACUCCUAUAGAUCAUCAUCAUCAUCUUCGGCUACAUCAUCUACACCAUUCCCAUUGUCGUCACUAUUACUACAAUGCUCCAAGAUAGUGUCAUCUUCAUCCUCAUGUUCCUCUACAUCUUAUACAGAAAUGUUAAUUUGCUUCUUGUGUCUUAAAAGGUCUGCUAAAUUAACUUCAAUGACUGUGUCUUUGUUGACGGUCCUUAAGUUGAAAAUAAACAACCUCUGCAUCGAUCAAUACUAAUUAAACACCAAAACUUAGAAUAGGGAUUUAACUCUAACAAUUUCCACAAGCUUUGGUGAAUUAUGAUAUGCAGGCACCCAUGAGCAAAUACAAGAAGAAAACAUGUAGAAGACGCAAUAGAAGCACGCAGAAGAUCCUAUCCUGCGUCACACUUACAAAGAGGGCCCACAAACAAGACCAAACGGGCGCCCCAAGACACAAAUCACCAAGGACCAUCACUAGGGCCCACAUGUCAGAUAGCUAGAGGAAGGUAGAGCUGGGGAGGCUCCACCUGGGGUUGGCCGAACCUCUGGGUCGGCCGAACCCUGAUGGACUUCUGUCCAGGUGCAUUUUGACGUGGAGUACCCCCUACGCUUCCUCAAGGCCGUGGCUAAGGUUUGCAUACAUAAAGAUGGUGGGAACUGCCCUUGGAGGCUAUAAAAGGAGGCCUCCCCCCAUUCACACACACCAUCUGGGAGAUGAAGAAGAGAAGGGAGGAUUCCACCUUUUAGAGCUACUUAGUAGAGUAGGUUAGGGAGUGUGUGCAGAAGUCCACGAGGAGAGUCGAAGUUGUCGGCCUCCGUCUACUUGUACCUCGGCGGAUACGAACCUCUUUUGAGUAAGUAUCCAGGUUCAUCUACGGUGUUGAGUUCUUAUUAAGCUAAGUCUUUGUUAUCAUUCACUUGUGGGAUCAUUGUGUGUUCUUGAAUGAUUGCUUCUAGCCUAAGGACUUGAGUCUUAAGACAGAGUCUGGCUGGGGUUAGAAGUAGUAUUUGAUAGCGUGGACAUGGUGUCUAGGCUUGAAGUUA